rnacentral:SRP_RNA from 2 species
GCCGGGUGUGGUGGUGCAUGCCUGUAAUCCCAGCUACUCGGGAGGCUGAGGCAGGAGAAUCGCUUGAACCCGGGAGGCGGAGGUUUGUAGUGAGCAGAGAUCGUGCCACUGCACUCCAGCCUGGGCGACAAAGUGAGACUCUGUCUCAA